UCGCAGGCUGCAACCCGCCUGCGUGAAGUUGGAAUCGCUAGUAAUCGCGGAUCAGCAUGCCGCGGUGAAUACGUUCCCGGGCCUUGUACACACCGCCCGUCACACCAUGAGAGUCGGGAACACCCGAAGUCCGUAGCCUAACUUUAACGAGGGGCGCGGCCGAAGGUGGGUUCGAUAAUUGGGGUGAAGUCGUAACAAGGUAUC
rnacentral:rRNA from 1 species